rnacentral:rRNA from 1 species
UCCAGCAGCCCAAGCACUCUGCAACUCACAACUGGCAACCCACUGAAGCUCAGCAGGUGUGAGCCUGGGCAGUACCUGGAUGGGAGACCUCCUGGGAAAAACUAAGGCUGCUGCUGGAA